rnacentral:rRNA from 1 species
AGAGUUCGAUCCUGGCUCAGGAUGAACGCUGGCGGCGCGCCUAACACAUGCAAGUCGAACGGCACCCCUCCUCGGAGGGAAGCGAGUGGCGAACGGCUGAGUAACACGUGGAGAACCUGCCCCCUCCCCCGGGAUAGCCGCCCGAAAGGACGGGUAAUACCGGAUACCCCGGGGUGCCGCAUGGCACCCCGGCUAAAGCCCCGACGGGAGGGGAUGGCUCCGCGGCCCAUCAGGUAGACGGCGGGGUGACGGCCCACCGUGCCGACAACGGGUAGCCGGGUUGAGAGACCGACCGGCCAGAUUGGGACUGAGACACGGCCCAGACUCCUACGGGAGGCAGCAGUGGGGAAUCUUGCGCAAUGGGGGGAACCCUGACGCAGCGACGCCGCGUGCGGGACGGAGGCCUUCGGGUCGUAAACCGCUUUCAGCAGGGAAGAGUCAAGACUGUACCUGCAGAAGAAGCCCCGGCUAACUACGUGCCAGCAGCCGCGGUAAUACGUAGGGGGCGAGCGUUAUCCGGAUUCAUUGGGCGUAAAGCGCGCGUAGGCGGCCCGGCAGGCCGGGGGUCGAAGCGGGGGGCUCAACCCCCCGAAGCCCCCGGAACCUCCGCGGCUUGGGUCCGGUAGGGGAGGGUGGAACACCCGGUGUAGCGGUGGAAUGCGCAGAUAUCGGGUGGAACACCGGUGGCGAAGGCGGCCCUCUGGGCCGAGACCGACGCUGAGGCGCGAAAGCUGGGGGAGCGAACAGGAUUAGAUACCCUGGUAGUCCCAGCCGUAAACGAUGGACGCUAGGUGUGGGGGGACGAUCCCCCCGUGCCGCAGCCAACGCAUUAAGCGUCCCGCCUGGGGAGUACGGCCGCAAGGCUAAAACUCAAAGGAAUUGACGGGGGCCCGCACAAGCAGCGGAGCAUGUAGAUCGGAAGAG